ACAGACAAAAAACCGCGAGGCUCGCACCACAUAGGGAAUACGCUCAUGCACUCUUCACCGAGUCAUCGUCGUCGUUCUCAUAUUCGCGAGCGGGUUAAGGUCUGAGCAUUCAAGUCAUUUUAAACGAUCGGUCCUAGCAGGACUCGUUAGUCCAAUACGACUCGGCCGGCGUAUCAGAAACUCGCUCCUUCACUCUCUUUUCACCCAAAGACGUUCUUCCUCUCAAGAGGUAGGAUUGAGGGUUAUGAUGGUGCUUGGUAGCUUGGAACUCGUCGGAAUGACUGGGCCCUUCACUUUGUAAAUCUCACAUUUUAAGUGGGAUGGAGAAGUGAUGUUCUUUUUUUGGUCCUUUAGCUCACUUCGCUGUGCGCCCUGGUAUAAAGGAGCCUGGUCUCUUUCUAGGGGUGUAACUCGAUUCAGACUACUCUUUGCCUGU
rnacentral:RNase_P_RNA from 2 species